UUGAACGCUGGCGGCAGGCCUAACACAUGCAAGUCGAGCGGUUGAGAGUAGCUUGCUACUUGAUGCAGCGGCGGACGGGUGAGUAACGCGUGGGAAUCUGCCCAGUAGUGGGGGACAACAGCCGGAAACGGCUGCUAAUACCGCAUACGCCAUACGGGGGAAAGGGGGGGAUCUUCGGACCUCUCGCUAGUGGAUGAGCCCGCGUCGGAUUAGCUAGUUGGUAGGGUAAAGGCCUACCAAGGCUACGAUCCGUAACUGGUCUGAGAGGAUGAUCAGUCACACUGGAACUGAGACACGGUCCAGACUCCUACGGGAGGCAGCAGUGGGGGAUAUUGGACAAUGGGGGAAACCCUGAUCCAGCCAUGCCGCGUGUGUGAAGAAGGCCUUAGGGUUGUAAAGCACUUUCAGUGGGGAGAAAGGUUUGUCACCUAAUACGUGAUGAAAUUGAUGUUACCCACAGAAGAAGCACCGGCUACUCCGUGCCAGCCGCCGCAGUAAAAC
rnacentral:rRNA from 1 species